rnacentral:lncRNA from 1 species
AGGGAGCCAGGGUGGGCGGUCUCCUAUUGUACUUGGCUUUUGAAUUUUCGCUUUUGCAGCACAAAGGUAGGGCUGGGAAAGGAGGCUGCCGAACCGUGCUUGUUUUCGCUCAGAUAAACGUGAGAAAAAGUGGAGGUGAGGAAGCCAGUGUAGGCAAAUAGCGAGAGGGGAGAAGACAGAAAGGUACCGAAGGUCGACCUUUUUUAGGUAUCUUAUCCAAGUUAUUGAGGGGAAUGGGUAUUUAGCCAGUUUUUUGUUUGUUUGUUUUUAUCCGAAUAUCCAGUGUGUGUCUUGAAUGUGUGAAUGUGACGUGUUUAUAAAGCUCAGUAAGCUUAAAAUUCCGUGCCAAUACAUUUUGUAUGCCGCAGACAGGAAGUGCUUUGGAAGACCCUUGAAAGGGGAGGUGAUUUUACACCAAUAUUGAGAUCAUUUUGUCAGAGUCGUGGGACUAAAGGUAGACCUUAGGUAGUCGAUGUCAAAGAUAAGCGCAGCUGGACGUUAAAGCGGUGAAAACAUUCAGUUAACUACUGACAGGAAAGAGCUGAGCUCUAUUUCGAUUCGUGCAGAGAUCAUCUGGGCAUUUUUAAAGGGACGUUUUAAAAGGAGAAAGGGGAUAUGCGGGCGCUCAGUAGAGAAAGUGAACCUACAGAGUUGUUAGUGUAAAUGUGAUUAGGCCAGCUGUGUGUUUGUGUGUGCGCGCGUUUUAACAGUUACCGCAGGAUUCUAUCCUCCUACGGAGGAUUUUAUCCUUCUCGAUUACAUUUCAAAGGAAUGACUCUCUGGUCCUUGAGAGAGAACUUCUGAGUGGCAAGAAAUAAGUCUUUACAAUUGCAAGCCCUUUAGUAAACGUUCUAAGAAAGGGAUGUCAGAGACCUAUCAUCAGUUGUGUGCUGGUUACAUCACGUAGUUAAGCUUUCUGAGGCAGUCGCCCUGGGCACAGGGCCUUAUGCUGCUAAAGCUUGCUAGAGUUUGGUCAAGUCUCUGAACGCAGGGGUUUAGAUGGGAUGGUCAUGUUCCUGGAGUUCUGCAGUGGUCAUAGGUAUGAUUUGAAUAAGUACAGGGAAUAUUCUAGUCGGAGGAACAGAAUGUGCCAACGCGCCGAACAGGGAGGAUAGUUUUACGAUACGGAGAUGUGUAUGAUAGGGAAUAAGUGGGAGCCCAGUUUGGACUAAUUGGAAGAAGUCAUUAUUAGAAGUACUGUAUUUAAUUCUAGUUUGUUAUAAAAUGAGACUCCAAGAUCACUGAGCCAUUUCACUGAGACUCCAAGAUCACCCCAAUGCUAGGCUAAUCUCCAUGGCG